UUGAACGCUGGCGGCAGGCCUAACACAUGCAAGUCGAGCGGAUGAAGGGAGCUUGCUCCUGGAUUCAGCGGCGGACGGGUGAGUAAUGCCUAGGAAUCUGCCUGGUAGUGGGGGAUAACGUCCGGAAACGGGCGCUAAUACCGCAUACGUCCUGAGGGAGAAAGUGGGGGAUCUUCGGACCUCACGCUAUCAGAUGAGCCUAGGUCGGAUUAGCUAGUUGGUGGGGUAAAGGCCUACCAAGGCGACGAUCCGUAACUGGUCUGAGAGGAUGAUCAGUCACACUGGAACUGAGACACGGUCCAGACUCCUACGGGAGGCAGCAGUGGGGAAUAUUGGACAAUGGGCGAAAGCCUGAUCCAGCCGUGCCGCGUGUGUGAAGAAGGUCUUCGGAUUGUAAAGCACUUUAAGUUGGGAGGAAGGGCAGUAAGUUAAUACCUUGCUGUUUUGACGUUACCAACAGAAUAAGCACCGGCUAACUUCGUG
rnacentral:rRNA from 1 species